rnacentral:rRNA from 1 species
GACGAACGCUGGCGGCGUGCUUAACACAUGCAAGUCGAACGGUGACGAGGAGCUUGCUCCUCUGAUCAGUGGCGAACGGGUGAGUAACACGUGAGCAACCUGCCCAGACUCUGGGAUAACAGUUGGAAACAGCUGCUAAUACCGGAUACGAGACGGAGAGGCAUCUCUACCGUCUGGAAAGUUUUUCGGUCUGGGAUGGACUCGCGGCCUAUCAGCUAGUUGGUGAGGUAAUGGCUCACCAAGGCGACGACGGGUAGCCGGCCUGAGAGGGCGACCGGCCACACUGGGACUGAGACACGGCCCAGACUCCUACGGGAGGCAGCAGUGGGGAAUAUUGCACAAUGGGCGAAAGCCUGAUGCAGCGACGCCGCGUGAGGGAUGAAGGCCUUCGGGUUGGUAAACCUCUUUCAGCAGGAAGAAGCGAAAGUGACGGUACCUGCAGAAGAAGCACCGGCUAACUACGUAGCCAGCAG